rnacentral:rRNA from 1 species
AGAGUUUGAUCAUGGCUCAGAAUCAACGCUGGCGGCGUGCCUCAGACAUGCAAGUCGAACGAUUAAACUCGUCUUCGGACGAGAUAUAAAGUGGCGCACGGGUGAGUAACACGUAGGUAAUCUACCUUUGAGUGGGGAAUAACUUAGGGAAACUUAAGCUAAUACCGCAUAAUGCAGCGGCACCUUCGGGUGACAGUUGUUAAAGGAGCAAUCCGCUUAAAGAGGAGCCUGCGGCAGAUUAGCUAGUUGGUAAGGUAAUGGCUUACCAAGGCGACGAUCUGUAACCGACCUGAGAGGGUGGUCGGUCACACUGACACUGAAUAACGGGUCAGACUCCUACGGGAGGCAGCAGUCGGGAAUUUUGGGCAAUGGGCGAAAGCCUGACCCAGCAACGCCGCGUGAAGGAUGAAGUAUUUCGGUAUGUAAACUUCGAAAGAAUGGGAAGAAUAAAUGACGGUACCAUUUAUAAGGUCCGGCUAACUACGUGCCAGCAGCCGCGGUAAUACGUAGGGACCAAGCGUUGUUCGGAUUUACUGGGCGUAAAGGGCGCGUAGGCGGCGUGUUAAGUCAGCUGUGAAAUCUCCGAGCUUAACUCGGAACGGUCAGCUGAUACUGAUGUGCUAGAGUGCAGAAGGGGCAAUCGGAAUUCUUGGUGUAGCGGUGAAAUGCGUAGAUAUCAAGAGGAACACCUGAGGUGAAGACGGGUUGCUGGGCUGACACUGACGCUGAGGCGCGAAAGCUAGGGUAGCAAACGGGAUUAGAUACCCCCGUAGUCC